CUGCAAUACUAUAGUUGUGCCUAAAAAACGAGUUUGUCGCUGUAAAAGGCAAGUACACGCAAAAGAAGCACAUAAUGCAUGCCAGAAGAAACGAGCGAAAUGGUGGGGAGGAAGAGAAAAUUGUAAUACCGGAACGUCUGGAUUUCUGGCUGGCGAACGUCUCGCUCACUACCUCAAGUGGGUCACGGGGUGCAAUCGGAGAGGUCAUCGCCGCAGCAAGCGACUCGGCGGUAGGGAGCAGCGCGCGCCAGUUUUCGCUGUAAGCUGCUAAGCGAAGGAACGGGAGACAUUUUUUUACGGCUCCUUAUUUUGAGUUCGGCUGUGGUUAUCACGAGAAAAGAAGCAAUGAGGAAUCUGACGACAGUGUUUUUGUUCGCGAUGCUCGCGAUUGCCUCACUAUCACUUGCGGCUCCGAGAGAAGCGAAAGAUAACGAGCAAACCACGGUUGAUCCCAAGGCCUGUCCAGGCUGGGAGGUGUGGCAGGAGUGUUCGGGAAACGACUGCCGUGAGCUUAACUGUGAAGAUCCUGUUCACGGCGGGGAAUGCGAGGAUUGCAAAAGCGGCUGCUAUUGCGGAGACGGAUACUUGAGGAACAAUCUCGGAAACUGCGUCAGCUGGCAUCACUGUCCGCGGGAAUGAAUGCUCUUUUCUAUCCCAUUAAGAACGCUCACUUUUAGCCGUCUCGGCAUAUCUUGCUUGCCAUUUCGUUCGCUUGAGCUGUGUUUUGCAUGUGUGCUCAGCGAAGUUCUACUAACAGCAGAACGGUAAUAGUUUCUCAAGAACAGCAAGCUGUUUUGUUUAGUUGUGACUGAUAUGUGACAGCUGUAUCGACAUUGUUCAUUUCGAGAAAUAAAGAUUUUCAUUUCUGACUCCG
rnacentral:lncRNA from 1 species